GCGGGGGUGUGAGUGGGUGACAUCGGGUUGGCAUGGGGGAGCCAACAGGGGGCAAUGUGGUGUUUGCGCGCUGAUGACUGCUGGUUAGGGCGUUGGUGACGGUGAUGUGGUGAUGUGUGUGGUGGUGACGGUGAUGGUGAGGUUGGAUGGUGGCGGUGAUGACGGUGAUGGUGGUGAUGGUGUGGUGGUGGUGAUGUGGUGAUGACGGUGAUGGUGUGGUGGUGGUGAUGUGGUGAUGACGGUGAUGGUGGUGAUGGUGUGGUGGUGGUGAUGUGGUGAUGGUGUGGUGGUGGUGGUGAUGGUGAGGUGGUGAUGGUGGUGAUGGUGUGGUGGUGUGGUGUGGUGGUGGUGAUGUGGUGAUGACGGUGAUGGUGUGGUGGUGGUGAUGUGGUGAUGACGGUGAUGGUGGUGAUGGUGUGGUGGUGGUGAUGUGGUGAUGGUGUGGUGGUGGUGGUGAUGGUGAGGUGGUGAUGGUGGUGAUGGUGUGGUGGUGUGGUGGUGGUGAUGUGGUGAUGGUGGUGAUGGUGGUGAUGGUGUGGUGGUGUGGUGGUGGUGAUGUGGUGAUGGUGGUGAUGGUGUGGUGGUGGUGAUGUGGUGAUGGUGGUGGUGGUGUGGUGGUGGUGUGGUGGUGAUGUGGUGAUGGUGGUGAUGGUGUGGUGGUGGUGGUGAUGGUGGUGAUGUGUGGUGGUGAGUGUGGUGGUGUGGUGGUGGUGAUGUGGUGAUGGUGGUGAUGGUGUGGUGGUGGUGGUGAUGGUGGUGAUGGUGUGGUGGUGGUGAUGUGGUGAUGGUGGUGACGGCACAUUAUAAGAGGCCCCGUACAACAGGCUGGGGCAGAGGCAAUGCUUCGCG
rnacentral:lncRNA from 1 species